UGUAGAUACCUUUUCGGGAUGGGUGG
rnacentral:piRNA from 1 species